AUAUGUAUAUAGCCAUUCCCACCUGCACAGGCACCACACAUGCUUACACACUGUGUCCAAGUAUCAAUGACAUGACAACCUGAGAAGAGGUCUCUGUAUAGCAGGCACCCUCUUUGUGUCGCUGUGUCACUCCCUGCAUGGCUAUGAGUGUAGCAGGGGAAGAGGACGAUGAGUGGGUGAAAGAGGAAUUGGCAGGUCGUCUAGACAGUCCGGAUGUCUUAGGGACAGUGGGAGCAGUGGAGGACUGUGAGGCAGUGGGCCAGUCCGGUAGAUGGUGGAGGCUUUCAAAGAUUACCGAGACUAGAGGAGACAGAGGUUCACAAGUGUUUGGCGAUGGUGAGUUCGGUGCACAGAGUGUCCAGGAUCCCUGGGACUAUCAGAUGAUGAUUGGCUCUACAGAGAUGCUGUUUUGUCGAGGAAGGGGCUAAGCAGAAGGGCAGAGGGGACCAGUGAGGACUGUGGAGCAGCUUACCCUCUCCCUUCAGGGAAAGAGCCAAUCUUCCUGAGAAAGAAUCCUGUUUCCCCAGAGAGGCUCUGGACACAGCCAGGCUCCAGUUCCCAAGAGACCUUGGCAAGGAGGGCCCAGCUUCUCCGCACUGUCUUGUAGGCCUUCAGCUCUGGGAGUUCAGCUGUCUGUAUCCCCCAAGGCCACUCUCCAUUGUACAACAUCCAGUAGCAGGAAGAACUGAAGCAGAGUUUGAUAUCCAGGCAGCGUGGACUCCGUCCAGAGACAGAGAAAGGUGAUCUGCUACGAUCAGGAUGGAAGAAGAUCAGCAUUGGGAGAGUUCAAAAUCACCCCAAAAGAAAACAAAACUAGCUGAAAUCAAGAAAAAGAAACGUGUUAGGUUUCUCUUACCUCACCAAACUGAGAGAAAAAGAAGACCCUCUUCCCCUCGAGAUGCAGAUCAGGAGAUGUUCACAUGUGAAUGCUGCUACUGUCAGAAGGAUGUGGGGAACAUGUCUGGGGUCUCCAUGGGGACGGGGACCAUGACAGAAGCAGCCUCUCAUUCACCAUCCUGUGAAAAGCUGAUACUAGACCUCAGUAACUUGUCACUCAACCCUGAUACCACCCAGCCCACUCUUGCGCAAGAAAUACAAAAGAGAGAAAAGAACAAAACGCACUGGCAGCAGAAAAGCAAAAAGGUGUUUCAAAGGCUUCUCCACGAAUGGACAGAAUAACUCUGGCAUUGUUAUCCUCAUGUAAAGAAGAUCAGAACCUACAGGAUCAUGAAUGUCAACACCACCAAACCCUAGGGUGAAAUCUUUUUGGGAGCAUGGUCAGGAGGAGUAAAAAUGUCCAGCCUGGUGACAAUAAUAUCUUCAGAUGGCGAGUUUCAAACCUAUUCCAGAAAUGUAACAGUCGUUUUCUUAGUGGUUUUGGCAUCCCCUCUGGGGCAUUCUGGCAACAGAUGCUCCUUGGCUAGGGCAACCAGAUAGCGAUGGUUCUGUACUCCCCAUGCUGUUGUUCCCAUGGGGCGAUCUACCAAUUUCCCCUCCUCCGGUCUCGGCUUUUCCUCCUUUACUUUGUUGCCAAUAAAGUUAGAACAUCGAUGCAGA